UGAAGGAAAAAGGGGCAGUGUUUUACAAGCGUUGUGUGUCCCUGUUUUCAGAAAAAAGUGGAGACACACCGGAACUGGCAGAUCAGCUGUUGCUGUGAAAUUUUAUGCAGGAAAGCAGAAUAGCAAUGGCAUGAAUACCACAUGAAGUUUUCAUAAGGAGACACAUUUUUUAGAUCUAAAGAAUCCCCACCAGCUCUUUAUCUGAGUACUACAUGGAUGUUUUCCUUAAUGAGGGCGGGCAUUGGGCUGGCAUUUUUGGGCAUCUGCUGAAGGCAACACUCCAGAAGAAGGAGCCACUGCCAGUCGACCCUCUGGUCUUGAUGCUGCUUCCUGAUGUCGCUGCAUGGUCACCUGCUCCCUCUUGGCAAGAAAGCAGUGAAAGGACCAAGGAGAAGGAGAGCACCCUCUGUUAACCUUGUCUGACCUCUCCCUCUAGGUAGCUGUCUAGACUGGAUCCAAAGAGUUAGGGCAAGUGAAUAGGUAGAGGUGUCAGCUUUGUGAAGGAGUUGGGCCUACUCAAGGAGAAGGCCCACAGAGAGAAUCUUAUCCAAAACUUAUUUCUUUAUAAACACAUUUGCAUACCGCUAUUUCAUUAAAAACACCAAUUUACAACAAGUUAAAACAAGCAAGCA